rnacentral:rRNA from 1 species
UACGGAGGAUGCAAGCGUUAUCCGGAAUGAUUGGGCGUAAAGCGUCCGCAGGUGGCCAUGUAAGUCUGCUGUCAAAGCGUCUGGCUCAACCAGAUAAAGGCAGUGGAAACUACAUAGCUAGAGUAAGGUAGGGGUAGAGGGAAUUCCUGGUGUAGCGGUGAAAUGCGUAGAGAUCAGGAGGAACACCGAUGGCGAAGGCAGCCCCCUGGGCCGACAUUGACGCUCAGGCACGAAAGCGUGGGGAGCAAACAGG